rnacentral:lncRNA from 1 species
CGAAAGAAUGAUCUUUAUCACAUAGCUGCAUUCCAAACUCUCUCUUUCAUCUGCCUAUAGCGGCAAUUGCGCGAUUCAACGAUGUAUAUCUUGCCGUAUUACCCAUGAACCUUUGUAACUACAAAACUAUUGAGUUUGGUGAAUCAGGCCUUCCUUGUCUCUUUCCACAAAAGAAAAAAAACUGAGCAAGCGUUUUCUUUCCUUAAAUUUCAAGAACCAAGA